rnacentral:lncRNA from 1 species
CUGCUAUGGGCUAGCCAUUGAGCCCUUGGCUCCUGUAAAUAUGUCUAGAAGAGACAUUUUUUCAUUCUUUUAUUCUUUAGAUUCAAUCCCCUUCCUUUUUUCCUUUUCCUCCUUUUUUGACUCCAAACUAUGUGCAUCCCCCCUUCAAUAUAGAUAGCGCGAGCACCUCCCUGCUCAUUUGGAUCCAGUUUUUAACCGGGAGGGAGCUAUUUCAUGAUAUUUUAACUGGGACCAAUGCCAAGGCAGGGGUAGAAAUUUAUGCUCCCCAAUUUUUUGCUCGCCAACUUGGUUUCGGCCAAACUUGGCCUGUUCCUCCUUGCUAUUCAAGGAACUUGAUUGAUCGCUUUCAUAUUAUUAAUAAGGCGGAAGCAGAGGCUAUAAAUACUCGUAAUCUUCUUUUAACAAGCUAUUUUUUAAUUAGCCCCCUUCAAUUCUAGCCACGCCAUCCAUCCUCUUUUUGAAUAGCUCUGGCCGUCAGUGAAGCGCAGAUUGUUUGCGACUGAUGCCAAUCGUGCCUUUCAUUCACUAGACCAGCCGAGCAUUUCUUCCCCUCCUCCUAUUUUAGUCACUCCUUUGUCCAUCCGGAGUCCUUCUCCUUCUCGUUGCGCUAAACAAUCUGCUCGUCCAUCUUCUUCUUUCCCUGCCAAGCCUACUACAGCCAAGAGUGCCCCAAGCCGCAAACGGC